AUUCGCGGCCUAUCAGCUUGUUGCGACGACGGGUAGCCGGCCUGAGAGGGCGACCGGCCACACUGGGACUGAGACACGGCCCAGACUCCUACGGGAGGCAGCAGUGGGGAAUAUUGCACAAUGGGCGAAAGCCUGAUGCAGCGACGCCGCGUGAGGGAUGACGGCCUUCGGGUUGUAAACCUCUUUCAGCAGGGACGAAGCGAAAGUGACGGUACCUGCAGAAGAAGCACCGGCCAACUACGUGCCAGCAGCCGCGGUAAUACGUAGGGUGCAAGCGUUGUCCGGAAUUAUUGGGCGUAAAGAGCUCGUAGGCGGCUAGUCGCGUCGGCUGUGAAAACCUGGGGCUCAACCCCGGGCCUGCAGCCGAUACGGGCUAGCUAGAAUUCGGUAGGGGAGACUGGAAUUCCUGGUGUAGCGGUGAAAUGCGCAGAUAUCAGGAGGAACACCGGUGGCGAAGGCGGGUCUCUGGGCCGAUAUUGACGCUGAGGAGCGAAAGCGUGGGGAGCGAACAGGAUUAGAUACCCUGGUAGUCCACGCCGUAAACGUUGGGAACUAGGUGUGGGCCACAUUCCACGUGGUCUGUGCCGCAGCUAACGCAUUAAGUUCCCCGCCUGGGGAGUACGGAAU
rnacentral:rRNA from 1 species